CACACCUAGAUUUUUUCUGACUGCUUAAAUCCAGCCCUAGUUUAGGAUGCUGCCCAUCUCCUUCAAUCUUAAGUACCUCAUGAUGAGUGAACCACCAUCAUUGCAGGGAAAUGCUCAGAACACAGCAGUAGACAAUGUGUUGAAAAAAUUAAAACAUGAAAUGAUAAGCGAAGAAAAAAUAUCUCCAAUCUCUGUCUGUGUUCUUGGUGGUUGGAACCAGAGUCAUGGAAGAACUGAGAUCUCAACAUGUAGAAAGGAGGGAGAGAGGGAGCUUGGCGAGGGCAGACGGCGUGGUGAGGGAACUGAACAGAUUUUCUUCCUUGGCCUCGGCUCUGGAGGAUAAGUUAAAAACUCCAGCAGGGUUCAUCUGGAGUGAACUCAGCAACGUACCAAAACCAUGAACACAGAAACAACUGCUUCUUCCAGCCACUCGACUUACCACCCAGAAGGCAGCGUGGAGAAGAGGAAAGACUGAAGAUUUGAAAGUCAGACAAGCCUGGGUCUGUCAUCCAAUUAUUAUAUGCCCGUGGGUCUUUUUCUUAACCUACUUCACAGAGUUGUGGAGAUUUAAUGAGAUAAUAAAUGAGUAAUUUCAGCUACU
rnacentral:lncRNA from 1 species